GUCCAGACUCCUACGGGAGGCAGCAGUGGGGAAUAUUGCACAAUGGGCGCAAGCCUGAUGCAGCCAUGCCGCGUGUAUGAAGAAGGCCUUCGGGUUGUAAAGUACUUUCAGCGGGGAGGAAGGGAGUAAAGUUA
rnacentral:rRNA from 1 species